GUUGUCUUGCCUUGUUUAAAUCAUGCAUUUUCUUUUCCCAAAUUCGACUUCUGAGAUUGUGUAUAUAAACCUAACAAAUGCUUAGAUUUCAUCGAUUUCUAUCAUUCUCUCAUCAUUGUUCAACCAAAGAAGAUGAUUGGUGUUAACAUAAGUUAUGAAGAUGGAAAGAAAAAACCGAACACGGUGAGAAAGACGAUGGAAAAACUCAAAUCUGUAUUUGAUAAGAAGAAACCUAAUCAUCAUGAAGAAGACUCAAGUCAGACUUCGCCAUAUUUAACCAAAGCUUUAAACGAGGGCCUAUCAUAUGAGCUGUUCAAAAUCCAGCAGAAGUUGGAUCAGAGAAAUUUUAUCCUUGUAAGUGUGUAGUUUCUGG